rnacentral:rRNA from 1 species
GAAUUGACGGGGGCCCGCACAAGCGGAGGAACAUGUGGUUUAAUUCGAUGAUACGCGAGGAACCUUACCCGGGCUUGAAUUGCAGGAGAACGAUCCAGAGAUGGUGAGGUCCUUCGGGACUCCUGUGAAGGUGCUGCAUGGUUGUCGUCAGCUCGUGCCGUGAGGUGUCGGCUUAAGUGCCAUAACGAGCGCAACCCCUCUCUUCAGUUGCCAUCAGGUAAUGCUGGGCACUCUGGAGACACUGCCACCGCAAGGUGUGAGGAAGGUGGGGAUGACGUCAAAUCAGCACGGCCCUUACGUCCGGGGCUACACACGUGUUACAAUGGUGGGUACAGAGUGUCGGGGGUAUGCAAAUGCCCUCCAAUCAUGAAAACCCUCCUCAGUUCGGACUGGGGUCUGCAACCCGACCCCACGAAGCUGGAUUCGCUAGUAAUCGCGCAUCAGCCAUGGCGCGGUGAAUACGUUCCCGGGCCUUGUACACACCG